rnacentral:SRP_RNA from 2 species
GCUGGGCAUGGUGGCUCAUGCCUGUAAUUCCAGCAUGUUGGGAGGCUGAGGCAGGUGGAUCAUUUGAGGUCAGGAGUUUGUGACCAGCCUGACCAACAUAGUGAAACCCUGUCUCUA